rnacentral:rRNA from 1 species
ACUCCUACGGGAGGCAGCAGUAGGGAAUCUUCCACAAUGGGCGCAAGCCUGAUGGAGCAACACCGCGUGAGUGAAGAAGGGUUUCGGCUCGUAAAGCUCUGUUGUUAAAGAAGAACACGUAUGAGAGUAACUGUUCAUACGUUGACGGUAUUUAACCAGCAAGUCACGGCUAACUACGUGCCAGCAGCCGCGGUAAUACGUAGGUGGCAAGCGUUAUCCGGAUUUAUUGGGCGUAAAGAGAGUGCAGGCGGUUUUCUAAGUCUGAUGUGAAAGCCUUCGGCUUAACCGGAGAAGUGCAUCGGAAACUGGAUAACUUGAGUGCAGAAGAGGGUAGUGGAACUCCAUGUGUAGCGGUGGAAUGCGUAGAUAUAUGGAAGAACACCAGUGGCGAAGGCGGCUACCUGGUCUGCAACUGACGCUGAGACUCGAAAGCAUGGGUAGCGAACAGGAUUAGAUACCCUGGUAGGAUAGCG